CUGCUCGAGCCCAAGGAAAUCAUCUCCUACAUGCUGCGCAGUUUGGGUCCUGAGUAUGACCCUCUGGUGACCAGCAUCACCACACGCGUCGACUAGGUCAUGGUGAGUGAUCUUUAUGCCCACAUGCUAAGCUUUGAGA